UACGUAGGGUGCAAGCGUUGUCCGGAUUUAUUGGGCGUAAAGAGCGUGUAGGCGGCCUUACAGGUCAGCUGUGAAAACUCGAGGCUCAACCUCGAGACGUCGGUUGAAACCGUAAGGCUAGAGUCCGGAAGAGGAGAGUGGAAUUCCCGGUGUAGCGGUGAAAUGCGCAGAUAUCGGGAAGAACACCCGUGGCGAAGGCGGCUCUCUGGGACGGUACUGGACGCGAU
rnacentral:rRNA from 1 species